GACGACCUCAGUUCGGAUUGAAGGCUGAAAUUCGCCUUCAUGAAGUCGGAAUUGCUAGUAAUGGCAGGUCAGCAUACUGCCGUGAAUACGUUCCCGGGCCUUGUACACACCGCCCGUCACACCAUGAGAGUUGGAGAUACCCGAAGCCUAUGAGCUAACUUUUAGAGGCAGUAGUCGAAGGUAGAAUCAAUGAUUGGGGUGAAGUCGUAACAAGGUACC
rnacentral:rRNA from 1 species